ACUGUUCCAAGCUUGAGAUGCGCUUGGAGUGGGGGUAUCAGCAGUGGGUGGGGAAGUGGGUUGGAAAGUCCUGAAUUCUAUUCUGGCUGCUCCCUUUUGGCUUCUUGUCUUCUCACUUCCUGCAUCUAGGACUUCUAGAUUCUGUUCUUCUGAGCGGCAUCGCCACCUUCCCAGGCCCUUAACCCACAAACCAGCUACACUGGCCUUCAGCUCCUUCCAUAUGCUCUUUAUUUAUUUUUUUUUAAUUUUUAAAAAAUGUUUAUUCAUUUUUGAGAGGUGGGGGAGGGCAGAUAGAAAGGAGAAUGUGAAGUAGGCUCCAUGUUGUCAGCACAGAGCCCAACGUGGGGCUCAAACCCACGAACCCAUGAACCGUGAGAUCGCGACCUGAGCCGAAGUCAGAUGCUCAACCGACUGAGCCACCCAGGCGCCCCCUUCCACAGGCUCUUAGGCUCUUAGAGUCGCUCUGCCUGGUCAGCUCCUGCUCAUCCUUCAGACUUCCGCUCAGUGCCACUUCUUGCAACAAGCCAGCCCUGGAUCCCCCGCCAGGCUAGGUUACCUCCUUUUCCAUGCCUGACGUCCUAAGCUUCUCUUUACUGCACCUGACCUGAUAGGUAGUUCUGUGCCGCCCCCACUAGCCUGCACGCUCCAUGCAGGUGGAGCCCAUGGUCUAACCCACUUUGCAUCCUUUGGCUGCUGCUGGCCCAUGGCAGGCGCUCAGUAAAUAUAUGUUGAAGCACUCUCUCUCCCUCUCCUAUGUAUACAAGUUCUAUCGAUGUGGGGUCUUACAGACCCCCCUUUUUUUUUUUUUGUCCUCACAGCUGUUCCUUCUAUCAGGCCUUCCUCCUCCUCCCCCUGUUGCCCUCUCUUCCUACCCCACUUGCGACUGGCUGUGAGAUUGCCCCUUAGCAAGCGCAUCCCCAGCCUCCGCAGCUGCCCUCUGCACUCAGAACAAACCCGGGCCCAGCCUUGUGCUCAAGGUCCUUCCUGAGCCAACUCCCGCUUUCCUUCCCCGUCUCACCUGCAGGCUGCGCCUCAUGCUGUGGCCUGCAGACCAAUUCUUGGGCCUUGCACAUCCCUUGUGCUUUCCCUUCUCGGCCUUGCUCAUGUUGUUGGCUCUUCCCCUCUAUCGCCAACAGUCCAAACGCCUCAUCAACAGGGGCCUGCUCUCACAUACACGCCCUUCUGUGAGGCCAUCUCAGAGCCCUACAGCUAGGCAGGCGCUCUCUCUCCUGGACGCAUGGCUCUGCAUGUGCCCCUCUCCUCGGACACUGAUUCUUGCCACCCAGCCUCUGGCUGCCCAACGGGGAGCCUCGUGACAGUACUAUGUCCAAUUCAUCUCUGAUUUCCCGGGACCCAGACCCAGCGGAUGGAGUAGAGAAGGCCCCUGAGGCAGGUGGCUACUCUAGUGUUUUUCAAAGCACGUCUUUGGAGGCCAAAUCCCGCAGAUAAGCUUUACUACAUCGAGUUCCCUGAUUCAAGUAGUUUGAGAAACGCUGCACGCUAUACCCUCCUCCUGGAAAUUCAUACAGCAUGCGAAUAUUUUUAAAGCUCUGAGAAGCCCUGAAGCUUCAAAACAAACAAAACUUGUGGGAAAAAAAACCAAACUGACAAAGCACUGACUGAUGUUCCUCACACACACAACCCCCAGGUCUCCCCCUGAGGAAAUGCCUGUCAUCAUCACACAUGAUCCAAAGAACACCCUUUGGGAAAAGUUGACCUGAUCCAGUCCUCUCACUUUAGAAGGGAAUGGAGAACGCUGAGAGGCAAAGGUAACAGAGCCAGUGAGCGACCAAGUCAGACCCAGAAUCUGGGCUUCUUCAUCUCAUUUUCUUCAGUCAGCAAACAUUCACGAGCACCUCCUGUGUGCCCGGCCCUCAGCUAGACGCCAAGGACUCAGAGUUAGAUGCAAAGGCCCAGCGAGGGAAAUUACUGACUCAGAGUCAUAUGGCAAGUUCUUAUAGAGCCUGAAUUAGAACUUGUGCCUUCUGACUCUCAGCUACUGUGCUUUUUGUUGUUGUAUCAGACAACAGAGGCUCAGAGAAAUUCCCAGCCACCUCCUAUCCUCUGCAUGUACGUGCACAUGUACACACAUGACAACACACACACACACACACACACACACACACACACACAGCAAAAUAUUGAUUAACUGGUGUGUUGUGGUAGAAGGCGAUGGUGGGUAAUUUAUUUUCUAGGCACUUGAGAGUUAAUAUGAAACUGGAUUUAUUUCAGCCCCUGUUUCCUAUCCUCUAAAAUCUCUCCCAGUGUACUUAGGAGGUGCCAUCUAGCAACUAUAAAUGGGCUUUGUCUGCUGAGAGAGCCUGCCAUGGGGGUUAAUUUACUGGCAUGGAGGUCAGGAUGGUGGGUUCAAGUCCAGCUGCUGCAGAGCUGUUUUCCCAUUUAUACAGACAAGCUGGACUUGGCGGCACUUGCCUGACAUUUGAAAUGGUGUUCUCUGCACCGUGGCUUGUGCACACAGGCAGAGUGCCAACCCUCUGUACCGCUACCCCCUUGCACCCAUCCUUCCCCUCUGCUACCACGUAAGUGGGGAACCCAGUUUAAACUUUGCCCUCAAUACUGAUCACUGCACCCAACCACACUAUAAAUAAUUAAACGAAUGUCUCUGUCUCUUCCAAUGUCCUAAUCAGUGUUGAAUUUUGUUCCAAUUAAAAACAAAAUUCCAGACAGCUAAUAUUUAGCACUGGUCCUGACCUUAAGUCUUUUGGGUUCUUAUCUAAAGCAUGACUCUGGGGUCAUUGGAGGCCAAUGGCUGACCACUUGGCCUUGACUUACCUCUGAGCCUCCCCUGAUGAGGCCUGGGCAACCCUGUCACAUGGGUGAGGACUUGUGUAAUCAACCAGCAGGGGACUGAGGCCCACUUGGUACUCCCUAGGGCCUCCUAAGAGAAAAUCUGUGAGCCAAGGACAAGGAGAGAUUUGUAUCUCCUGGCCAGCUUUCUCCUUAUGUACUGAAAAAUGAGGACUAUAUAACCAAUUGUUUCUGUCUGUACUUGGGCACCAGGAAACUCAGUCAAAUAUUAGUUCGGUUGCAGUGAAUGCAUGGGACCUUAGAACUGGUUUAUUUGUCUUCCAUAAUUCCCUUCUGUUCUGUGCCUCCCAGAAGGGCAUGAUUUUUUAAAAUAUUUUACUAUAUGUGUAAGCUGCUUCAAACCCAUUGCACAACAAGGUGAGGGUGUAACUCAUGGAAUGAAGCAUCGGCAAGGUAAGAUGCCCUCUGUUCCCCUCCAUCAGCAAGUUCUAUCUUUCCCCUUCUCUGCUGCCCACAUAUUGCCCGGGCUCCCAUGAUCUCUCACGUGCGUUUCUCUGACGCCCCCUAACUGGGUCCUGCCCACUUCCAUUCUCAUCCUCAGGCCUUUCUCCAAAGAGUGAUGUCCAAGUGUAAAUCUAAUCGUGUUUCAUUAUUAUAUGCCCCUACCGUAACAGUCAGGGUUCUGGCUUGCGAGCCACAGAAACUCACUCUGGUUUUCUUAGUCACAAACAUACGGACGCAAAAGAACAUAUUAAUAAGGUGUUGCAAGAUCUCCAGAAUCAACCACAGUUGGAGCCCUGGGCCUGGACUGUCUUUUAGCAUCAACAGUCAGGCCAGGAUGCUGCUGUCACUGUGGUUGCCUUGAGAACCAACCCCCCACCCCCAGGACCCCACCAUCCCUGACAGGGGCACUACCACUGGGCCAUGGAUGAAUUCUGCCAUCCCAAUGACUCCAGAAUCAAAGAUCUAUGUGGGAGAGUCCAAUCAGCCCAGCCUGGGUCUCUGCUUUUGCCUUGGCUACUCAGGACAGAGAACAGACCUGGCCCCUCUCUCCUCCACAGAGGCAUACUCUCCCAUUAAUAGCAUACAAAAUAAGAAAUUCCAACUAGGAAGGAGGCUUAGGAACUGGGCAGCCAAAAUUGCAACAAAUAUCCACCAUCCUUGUUUUAUAUCUCCGUGAUGUCACAUCGUAUGUGGAAUAAAAUCCAGGUUUUUCACCAAGGCAUAGGAGAGCCUGCCUUCCCUGGCCCAUACCUACCUCUCCAGUCAUGCCUCUCGUUACCCACUCUCCCACCCCCUCCCCAGGCCUGGCUCUGGUCACAGUGGCCUUACAGGUCCUUGAACACGCCAAGCUCUGUCCUGCCUCAGGGUCUUUGUACAUGAUAGAGUCCUUUUGUCUGGAAUGCCCUUCUCCUCCCUUUGCCCAUGGCUGGCUCUUUCCUAUCCUUCAUUUGUCAGGUUAAAUGGCAUCUCCUCAGAGGCCUCUCCCGACCCACCUGUCUAAAGUAGGUCACUCCUUGAUUGUCUCUUUCGUAACACUUAUCGCAAGUUGAAAUUACCACAUUUAUGUGUUUACUUGUUUUUUGGCCAUUAAAUAGACCUCAAAUUGCAUGCAGGCAGGGGCCUGCUGGCUUUGUUCUCUGCCGAAUCCCUGGUGUGUGGCUAAGAGCCUCGCACAGGAGAAGUCUGAAUAACUUGCUUAUAGGUGGAAUGAGAGCAUGCUUGGGGACAUGAGGUUGAAUGAGGAACAGGCCCUGCCCACAAGGGGCAACAAGUAGCCUGGCGGGCACAGACCCGUCACGGUGCGCAGCCUGCUGUGCUCUGACAGAUGUGAGGGACGGGCUCGAUGAUGUCGGCCCCGGCCACAGGUAACCACCAGGUGCUGGCAGCUCCCUGGAGUUACCCCCAAUCUAAGGUGGGAGAGUUGCAGAAGGCUCCCACCCAGGGCCGGCUUCAUGGGUGCGGGACCAGUGGGUCACACAGGGUUCCACAUUCGGAAGGGCCCCGUGCCAGGGGUUCAGUAUUCUGCAGUAGCUGUUUGAAAUCCUUAAUCAUUGUAUCUUUGAAUCUGCAUUUUACAAGUGAGGCCUGCUGGGACAAUGGGACGGGCCAGGGGACUUGGAGCCUUGGCUCAUGCAGGAUCCUGCCUCCCACAGCUUCCUCGCUCCCUGGGACAUGUUCUCCACGACCCACUCUUACCCCGCUCAGAUGCAGGGCUUGGCCAGCCUCCUUCCUAUUGCUAUCCAGUGACUGCUGCCUCCUUCUGACCCCAGAGAGGGCCUGGACGCAGACCCAGGUUGGGGUCCCAUGAGCCCAUCCUGCCACGUCUCCUGGCAGGGCGUGGAGGCGGCCCGUCCCCAUCCUGGGCUGACAGCGCCAUGUGCACUGUGCUGAGUGUGUGGGGUAACGUGGUGGGAGAAGCCUCUUGCCCAUCUCCCCUCCCCCGUCAAGGAGCCGAGCACGUGUCCCUGAAUGGAGGUCGUUAUAUGCUGUGAGGUAGGGGGUGGGCAUGUGGGAAGGGUGAAUGUCUAGCUCAAUUUCUGUGCUCCUAGCGGGGGCAUAGUGUGUUGAUCUGGUGCUGCAGGGAGAGGCAAACUGGCAGCCACUGGCCACACACACACACACAUGCACACGAGCACCGAGUUUUGGGGCUCCUGGGUGACUGUGAGGGCCCGCAUUCACCCAUGAAUAUCCCUCUGUCCGUGGGAACGUGACAUUAAGUAGUAGCUA